rnacentral:rRNA from 1 species
UUCCGGUUGAUCCUGCCGGAGGCCAUUGCUAUCGGAGUCCGAUUUAGCCAUGCUAGUCGAGCGAGGUUAGCCCUCGCGGCGAACAGCUCAGUAACACGUGGCCAAGCUACCCUGCAGAGGGGGACAGCGUCGGGAAACUGACGGGAAUCCCCCAUACCGGUCUCACGCUGGAAUGCCGAGACCGACAAACGCUCCGGCGCUGCAGGAUGCGGCUGCGGCCGAUUAGGUAGUCGGUGGGGUAACGGCCCACCGAGCCGAUAAUUGGUACGGGGUGUGAGAGCACGAGCCCGGAGACGGAAUCUGAGACAAGAUUCCGGGCCCUACGGGGCGCAGCAGGCGCGAAACCUUUACACUGCACGAACGUGCGAUAAGGGGACUCCGAGUGCGAGGGCAUACAGUCCUCGCUAUUGUGUACCGUAGGGUGGUACACGACCAAGAGCUGGGCAAGACCGGUGCCAGCCGCCGCGGUAAUACCGGCAGCUCGAGUGAUGGCCGAUUUUAUUGGGCCUAAAGCGUCCGUAGCUGGCCCUGCAAGUCCGUCGGGAAAUCCACUCGCCUAACGAGUGGGCGUCCGGCGGAAACUACAGGGCUUGGGACCGGAAGACUUGAGGGGUACGUCUGGGGUAGGAGUGAAAUCCUGUAAUCCUGGACGGACCGCCGAUAGCGAAAGCACCUCAAGACGACGGAUCCGACAGUGAGGGACGAAAGCUAGGGUCUCGAACCGGAUUAGAUACCCGGGUAGUCCUAGCUGUAAACGAUGUUCGCUAGAUGUGGCACAGGCUACCUGCCUG